UGUAUUAAAAUAUAUCCAUGACUCGGGAGAAACCUACACAAUAUAAAUAGGCUUAGGUACGGCCGGCAAGUCAUUCGAAGUAAAUACAGUUAUUAUUACUAUUGUAAAGUCGUUUCUCACACCGUUCCGUCGCCAUGAAUUCUUCUAAGUACGCGGUUUUGGUUUGUUUUUUGGUUUUGGCGUUCGCUUUCAACGGCGUGAAUGCUUAUUGUAACCCGGAUGAUUGUUGGGGUCUAUGCCGAGGCCAGUACAGUGGGGUGGUGUUCGGAGAAACUCGAGGAGUAUGCGAAUCUUCGAACAAUGACUAUUGUCGGUGUUACGGUAAACCCGUACAUCCACAAUUUUUCUAUCCCAUAGGUCCCGAGCGAACACUCAAUUGAAAAUGCUCAAGACAUCGUCUUAAACAUCUACAUCAGUUCAACGAUAAAACUUCAAAAAUAAUGUCAAAAUUUCAAAACAUUGCAAAGUAGUAACUCUUUUGUAAUACUAUUUAUGUUAGCUUUUAUGUGUUUUACAUUAAAGGCAACUAAAUAAAUGUAUGUGUAGAUAACAAAUAUAGAUUUUUACAAUAAACUUAAAAUAUUAUAACUGAAAA